rnacentral:rRNA from 1 species
UACGUAGGGCGCGAGCGUUGUCCGGAAUUAUUGGGCGUAAAGAGCUCGUAGGCGGCCUGUUGCGUCCGCUGUGAAAUCCCAGGGCUCAACCCUGGGCUUGCAGUGGAUACGGACAGACUAGAGGUAGGUAGGGGAGAAUGGAAUUCCCGGUGUAGCGGUGAAAUGCGCAGAUAUCGGGAGGAACACCGGUGGCGAAGGCGGUUCUCUGGGCCUUACCUGACGCUGGAGGAGCGAAAGCGUGGGGAGCGAACAGG